AAGAAAGGAGUUGCCCCCGAGAUCGGACACUGGAGAGCAGGCGUCUUCUGUCGCGUGAAGUAAGGCCGAUCUCCGGCCACCCGGCGAGGCGGAUGACAACAGCGUCCUUGUAGGCAGGCUGGCUGGAGUGUCGGGCUUCAGGGGACGCGGAGGGGAACCGGAGUAGAGAUAUAUGAGCUCUUUGAAAGCAGAACACUGUUGUUUCCAUGUUCUGAUCAUUCAGAGAUUAUGAAGGCACAGUUCCUGCCUUUUAUUUGCUUACAGUCAAGCGGAGUAGACACAGGUCAUGGUGGCAGUAUAGCCCCUUAAGUAUUCUGAAGGAGAUUUAUCAGCAGGUUGCAGGUGAACAUGGCCUUGAGGUAAAUCCUGCCCCUUAUUGAAAUUUAGUUCCAGCAGAUUGUUGUUGGCAUUUUAAGGAAUUAGAAUAUUUUACAAAAAACAAAAGUUUUGUUGUGGUUCUUUUCUAGACUUUUUUUUUCUUGUGGAAGAUGAGAAACAUGUUUAAAGAAGGGUUCUUUAUGCUGAAUAAUUGUGAUGCUUGAAGUUGGUCAUCUGCCUUAUUUAAAUUAAGUGGAUUUUAAAAAUCAAAGCUAUUUCUACACCAUUUUUUUCUUGAUCAAAUAAAAUUUUAUUAGAACCUUAUAGAUGCCUAGUUUUUAUCCAUGU